UCCAAGGACUGAAUUGAUUUUGGACCUAAACCACAGGGUAGUAACCAGUAUUUAGCCCUAAGUUUUAUCUCUUCCACCGUUUUGCCUUUCACUUUUUUUUUUGGCUUUUCUUUCCUAUCAAGAAACUUAUCUGGGAAUGGUAUAUAGCUUUAUUUCUUUUCUUUGAGACCAGGGAUUGAAGAGAGAACAAGGAGAAGAAUUUAGACAUAUGGGUUGUGAAAGAGGGUGCAAACUAAGUUUGAUUCUAGAUUGAGUAUUAAGAAGCUCGGGUACUGAGUCAAGGGUGAGGGUUUCAAGUUUCUGUUAGUUGUAAAAACAGUAGGUAUAUGAAUUGUGAAUUUGUUGGUUUUAUUGUGCUGCAAUUGUUUAUGGUUCAUGAUUCAAGAUUGCAAUAUCCAAAAGGCAACAAAUUGGAAAAUUGUAGUAUUGAUAUGGUUGAGAAACUGUGGAUACCCUGUGUACUCAUUUUAAUCAUGUAAUUUUUUUGACUCUUUGAGUGGUAUAUAUUUCAGGUGGUUUUGGCUGGCCAUUUCGUCCACAUGUUGAGGGCAUUCUUCGUGAUAAAGGAAUGUUGAUGAGUUCUCCUCUAGUAUUAGCAUCUGCUGUUAGAAACAAAAGCAAGGGAAGCAGUGAUCUUGGCCAAUAAAGAUUCUCUACUUGAUUUGAUUUUUAUUAAUUCUGUUGGUUACUUGAUCAUCUACAUCCAAUAGUCCACUUUCAUGUCUGAACUCGGAACCCAAGUCCCCAUCUACUUUUGGUAAGGCUCUCUUCCUUUAAGCCAAUACAUAUAAAUGAAAUGGUUGAUUAGAGCACAGUUAUGUAAUGCAUGUGUACCUGGCUGGUUUGUGUAAUGUGCGUGCAGAUUAGUAGUUUAUUGUCAACUUAGUUCUUUGCU